rnacentral:rRNA from 1 species
UACAGAGGGUGCAAGCGUUAAUCGGAAUUACUGGGCGUAAAGCGCGCGUAGGUGGUUCGUUAAGUUGGAUGUGAAAUCCCCGGGCUCAACCUGGGAACUGCAUCCAAAACUGGCGAGCUAGAGUAUGGUAGAGGGUGGUGGAAUUUCCUGUGUAGCGGUGAAAUGCGUAGAUAUAGGAAGGAACACCAGUGGCGAAGGCGACCACCUGGACUGAUACUGACACUGAGGUGCGAAAGCGUGGGGAACAAACAGG